CUACGGGAUGCACCAGUGGGGAAUAUUGGACAAUGGGGGAAACCCUGAUCCAGCAAUGCCGCGUGUGUGAAGAAGGCCUGCGGGUUGUAAAGCACUUUCGGUUGGGAGGACUGCUUCUAGCACUAAUAUUGUUGGAAGUUGACGUUACCUUCAGAAGAAGCACCGGCUAACUCCGUGCCAGCAGCCGCGGUAAUACGGAGGGUGCAAGCGUGAAUCGGAAUUACUGGGCGUAAAGCGCGCGUAGGCGGCUAGAUCAGUCGGGUGUGAAAGCCCCGGGCUUAACCUGGGAACUGCAUCCGAUACUGUCUAGCUUGAGUACAGGAGAGGAGAGUGGAAUUCCACAUGUAGCGGUGAAAUGCGUAGAUAUGUGGAGGAACACCAAUGGCGAAGGCAGCUCUCUGGCCUGAUACUGACGCUGAGGUGCGAAAGCGCGGGGAGCAAACAGGAUUAGAUACCCUUGUAGUC
rnacentral:rRNA from 1 species